CUCGCGUCGUCCCAGACUCUCCACAGCUCCCGCUGCCGAGACUCCGAGCAGACGUCGCAGCGGGCCAAGCGUCGCCACUCUGGGGACGCGAACAAGCUGGCGGCCCGCGCCCCUCUCCUGCUACCUGGUCGCGGGAAAACGAACUAGCACCGCUCCCCGGGCCGAGGCCAUUCCCCCGCCCCCACCGCCGGAAGAGCUGCCCUUCCCCGAUGGGAGGGGGGCGGGAAACUUUGCGAGACGACUGUUCCGCGCCUUUCUCGCGUGGCGUCGGAGAGGAACUUGGGUGGGUUUCCCGUCCGAGGCCUGACCACACCCUCCCACUUUUCUAGGCCUCGGACCUCAACCUCGUGGACUACGGAGCGGAGGGGGACACUUCGGGCCACUCGGAGGGUGGCACCGAAGUCAGGCGUCCCCAAGGGCUCUGGCGGAUGGCCAAGUUUGUGUUCUUUCCAUCCCACGCCGGAGUAGCGCUCGCUACUUUGGGGAAACUUCAGACUCCUCAACCCCGGCCACGAGGCCACCCCUGUCUUUAAGACCACAUAAGGAACACCAUGAUCCGUGCAUCUGUGCAGCUUGUUCCAGAGUCCCAGCCCUCACCAGCUGUGAGGUCACAUCUCUUGGAAGGCAGUCAUCUACCUCAACCAGCAGCUCCGAGAUGCUGGGCAGCGGGACCAUAUCUGCCAUUGGGAGAGCUGCCGCUGGUGCUCUGGGCUGUCCUACUCCUUCCGGUAGCCAAAGAGAGGAUGCGAGUUUUAAAAAUGCAUAUAUUCAGAGAAAAUGACUACCAAGAGAACGACAGAUUAUAUUUUCCAAAAGUGAUGGCAACAAUAUCUCCCAUCCCAGCUGCUCAUCUUACAGUGUGACUUUGACAUUCCUCCCAUUGAGAGGUAGGGUCUGUGUUUUCUGCCUUUGAAUAUGGGUGGGCUUGUGACUACAGUGGAAGUGACACUGUGUGACUUCUAGGCUAGGUCAUAAAAGACGAUACAGCUUCUGCCUUGUUUGCUGGAACAUUGCCUUUGGAGUCCUGAGCUGCCAUGGCAGAAGUCCGAGGCUGCCAUGCUGUCAGGAAGCCCAAGCUACAUGGAGAAGCCACAUGAAAGCGUUCUGGCCAAGAGCCCCAGCUGAGGUCCCAUCUAACAGCCAGCAUCAGCCACCACAUGUGAGUGAAGAUGACUCCACAUGACUCUGGCCCCCAGCCAUUGAGUCCUUCCUGUUGAGGCCCCAGAUAUUGGGGAACAGGAACAAGUCCUCCCCAUGGUGCCCUGUCAAAAUUCCUGAUCCACAGAAUCUGUGAGCAUGAUAAAUGGUUCUUUUAUGCCACUAUGCUUUGACAUAAUUUGUUCCAUAGCGAUUGUAAGUGGAAUAAAGAGCCCAGGGUUACACUCUUACAGCUACCACUCUUUAGAAGAUUCUGGGAAAGGUCUCCAGUUGGCCAGGCUUGGGUCACAUGCCUACCUCUUGAGCCAACUGCUCUGUCCGGGAGGAAGUAGAGUAGCUCUAGCCUACUUUAUGUGUUCAUUCCUGGGGGAGUAGGCAGGGAUGUUAUUACGGCCACAUACCAGACGCCUAGGGCUAGAGUGAUUCAUCAAAGGUGGUAGGGGUGGUCUCAGAAGAAGGGGUAUGAGAAUGUGUUCUGGGCAGACUGAAAUAAUAGCUAUAUUCUGUCACCUUUACUUUAUUUGGUAACCUUUUUUGGGGGGAGAAGGGGAGGUUUAAGAUAGUUUCCUUUAAAAGAAGAUCGGAGACCACAAGCUGUGUGACUUUGAGCAAGUUACUUUGCCACGCUGAGCCUAAUAAGAAUUUUUUUUUUUUGUACUUCUCUGGCAAGUUGUUAAGAGUGUGUUAGAAACGCUUUUCACUUUAGUCAAAAUUUACGUCAGGUCACUCAUCACUUGGAAGCAGGGACUUCAGUGUUCUGCUGAAGGGUCCACAUUGCUGUCUGCAUUAAUUUCCACAUGGCUUCUGUCUUUCCCUUUUCCACCCCAAAAUAUACACACACACACACACACACACACACACACCAGUCGCACGUGAUGUGCACACACACAUAUUAAAUAUGUAUUUUUCAUAUAUUCCAAAAAUAACCAAACCUUUCUUCUUUCCUGAAAGCCAGUAAUAUUUUUGCAGCCUAGAAAUAUCCUUAGGGUCAAUAUCCUCUAUCAGGGAUCGGCAAACUUUUUUUGUGACAGGCCAGAGAAGAAAAGUUUCAGGCUUUGCAGGCCAGACAGUUUCUGUUGUGACUACUCAACUCUGCCCUUGCAGCCAAAGCAACC
rnacentral:lncRNA from 1 species